rnacentral:rRNA from 1 species
UAUUGCACAAUGGGGGAAACCCUGAUGCAGCGACGCCGCGUGAAGGAAGAAGUAUUUCGGUAUGUAAACUUCUAUCAUCAGGGAAGAAAAUGACGGUACCUGACUAAGAAGUCCCGGCUACCUACGUGCCAGCAGCCGCGGUAAUACGUAGGGGGCAAGCGUUCUCCGGAUUUACUGUGUGUAAAGGGGGCGCAGACGGCAGCGCAAGCCAGGAGUGAAAGCCCGGGGCCCAACCCCGGGACUGCUCUUGGAACUGCGAGGCUGGAGUGCAGGAGGGGCAGGCGGAAUUCCUGGUGUAGCGGUGAAAUGCGUAGAUAUCAGGAGGAACACCGGUGGCGAAGGCGGCCUGCUGGACUGCGACUGACGUUGAGGCCCGAAAGCGUGGGGAGCAAACAGG